GCCAGGACCAUGCAAUCGGAACGUGGGCUUGAUACCAAGUGACAUCUAACAGGUCCAGUAAAAGAGGCCUACACAAUAAAGGCAGCAUGUGAGAAAGGCUGACUCUGGAACAUCAGGAUAAACUGCUAUAGUUUUCCACUAUUGAGCUGAAUUUCGUAUCACCAUCAAAAGUUACCUACCUACAAGUCCCUAGUAGAGAAAAUUUAACUUCUGGCUUUAAAAAAGGGACAGAAAAGCAGGCAGAUCUGCUAGUAAGCAAACUACAGCUCCCCCGAGGAGACACACAGGCAGUGGGUAAGAGGAACAGACCCAUGGCUCCACUGAAGACACAGAGCAGCAGACGAAAAAGACAUGUCCUAAAUGUUAAAUGGUAAGGAGGGGUAGGGUGAAAAAAGGGAACAUGGAUGCCAGGCAGAAGAAAUAAAAGCCUUUCCAAACA
rnacentral:lncRNA from 1 species